AGGACGAACGCUGGCGGCGUGCUUAACACAUGCAAGUGGUGCGACGAACCAGGGCUUGCCCUGGGGCUAAGCCGCGAACGGGUGAGUAACACGUGAGUAACCUGCCCUUCACUUUGGGAUAACCCUCGGAAACGGGGGCUAAUACCGGAUACGACAUGGGAUCGCAUGGUCUUGUGUGGAAAGUUUUUCGGUGGGGAUGGGCUCGCGGCCUAUCAGCUUGUUGGUGGGGUGAUGGCCUACCAAGGCGACGACGGGUA
rnacentral:rRNA from 1 species